rnacentral:tRNA from 1 species
AGAAUAGUAAGCUAAAUAUAAGCUAUUGGACUCAUAUUUCAAGUAUAGCAUAAGUUUUAUUCUA